CACAUGCAUUGAAGACCGCGUGCUGCCACGCAAUAAAAACGUGAUUUCAUCUUUGGAGUUGGAUUUCACCAUUUUGAUUCCUGAUUUUGAUUGAAGAAAGUGAUUUAUAGCCACACACCACAAAGGUCAAGCCAGAGAACAAUAAAGUAAAGUAAAGCAGGCCCAAGACGACGCUAAACGGAGUGCUUGGCGUUUUGAUUCCCAUCCAUUGCCUUGGUUUUUCGGCAUGAAGUGCAAGUAACUUGGAUGCACUCAUGCGCAGGGAGGGCCCCGAGAAUGAAAAUGGGGAAUUGGAAUGGGAAUGGUGGCAACUUUGUAUGAACCCAGCGCUUCAUGAUCAUGGCCUCCGUCCAUCAUUUCACUGCGGCAUACCGGUGCCAGGACGCCCCGAUAGGUCUCCUACGCUUGCCGCGCAUGACCCGCUGGGCGCGCAGAGGAGGAGGCAGGUCGUUCCAGCACCGGGACGCCGCAAAUCUGAAUGACCCGCGAAAAGCUGCUGUGCGAUGUUUGGGUGUGGCAAAUAUGUGAGUGCAUAGCCUCUUUGGAUAUCUACUCUGAGCUUGGGCCCAUUCCAGUUUGCUGAACAGAUACUUAGGCCUCGCACUAUCCAGUAUGCCAAACAACAUGGUGGCCAGGUGCAAUCUUCGCCGAGCAGCCAUCUUUAACAUGUUUGAUGAGUUCAGGAAUGGCGUGAUGUGUGAUCUCGGAGGCACAGUGAAACAAAAACGGGCGCAUGCGUUUUGUACCCUUUGAAUGAGACGUGACGAUUUACCCAGCAAGCACGGGCCAUACACUGUAUCACAGUAGUUAAGUUUGCUUAAUACAAGUGAUUCACAUAAAGAUAUUCUAAGGCUUUCGCUUAAAUAGGGCCUCAAGUUGUAUAGAAUCUUUAAGCGGUAAAAGCAGUUCUUAGUGCACUCGAGUAUAUGGCUUUCGAACUUGAGGUUUCCAUCAAUGACCAUUCCCAGGUUUCUCGCCUCAGCCACUCUUUCUAAAGGUUCUCCAUUUAUUUCAACGUUGAGUUGUAUGCUUUUAAGAGUUUCCAAGCCUUUACGUGUUCCAGUUAGCAUGAACUUUGAUUUUCUUGGGUUGAGAACAAGGCAAUUGGCAGUACACCAGUCAAAAAUUCUGCCUAGUUGGUUGUUGAUCUUCAUUAUUGCAUUUUCAUGAUCAGAUGGAGGGAAUGAUGUAUAUAAUUGUAGAUCAUCGGCAUAUAGGUGGUAUUGACAGUCCUUGAUACAGUUGAUUAUGUCAGCACUGUACAAAAUGUACAGUAUUGGACCCAAUAUGGAUCCCUGAGGAACUCCGCGAGUUACUGGUUUUUGUUCUGACAAUAAUGCCGACCCAUCCACCCCUUUCAGCUCCACGUACUGCUGUCUCAGAGAGAGAUAGCUAUGAAACCAUCGUAUGGAGGAAUCAUCAAGACCAUAAUAACGCAACUUGGAGAGAAGCAGAGGAAUAUUAAUGGAGUCGAAGGCGCGCGAGAAGUCCAGCAGCACCAGCGUCGAAACCAACCCCCCAUCCUGAGCAGCCAGAAGGUCAUCAAUCACAUCCGAAAGAGCAGUAGCCGUCCCAAAACCCUUGCGGAAUCCCGAUUGACGGCGCGGGAGCAGCUCCUGCUCC